CCUACGGGAGGCAGCAGUGAGGAAUAUUGGUCAAUGGGCGUAAGCCUGAACCAGCCAAGUCGCGUGAGGGAUGAAGGUUCUAUGGAUCGUAAACCUCUUUUAUAAGGGAAUAAAGUGUGGGACGUGUCCUAUUUUGUAUGUACCUUAUGAAUAAGGAUCGGCUAACUCCGUGCCAGCAGCCGCGGUAAUACGGAGGAUCCGAGCGUUAUCCGGAUUUAUUGGGUUUAAAGGGUGCGUAGGCGGCCUUUUAAGUCAGCGGUGAAAGUCUGUGGCUCAACCAUAGAAUUGCCGUUGAAACUGGGGGGCUUGAGUAUGUUUGAGGCAGGCGGAAUGCGUGGUGUAGCGGUGAAAUGCUUAGAUAUCACACAGAACACCGAUUGCGAAGGCAGCUUGCUAGGCCGGAUCUGACACUGAUGCACGAAAGCGUGGGGAUCGAACAGGAUUAGAUACCCGUGUAGUC
rnacentral:rRNA from 1 species